rnacentral:misc_RNA from 1 species
GAUGAAGAACGCAGUGAAAUGCGAUAAGUAGUGUGAAUUGCAGAAUUCAGUGAAUCAUCGAGUCUUUGAACGCACAUUGCGCCCCCUGGCAUUCCGGGGGGCAUGCCUGUCCGAGCGUCAUUGCUGCCCUUCAAGCCCGGCUUGUGUGUUGGGUCGUCGUCCCCCCCGGGGGACGGGCCCGAAAGGCAGCGGCGGCACCGCGUCCGGUCCUCGAGCGUAUGGGGCUUUGUCACCCGCUCGAUUAGGGCCGGCCGGGCGCCAGCCGGCGUCUCCAACCUUCUAUUUUACCAGGUUGACCUCGGAUCAGGUAGGGAUACCCGCUGAACUUAAGCAUAUCAAUAAGCGGAGGA